CAGCCGCCACGGUAAUACGUAGGUGGCAAGCGUUGUCCGGAAUUAUUGGGCGUAAAGGGCUCGCAGGCGGUUUCUUAAGUCUGAUGUGAAAGCCCCCGGCUCAACCGGGGAGGGUCAUUGGAAACCGGGAAACUUGAGUGCAGAAGAGGAGAGUGGAAUUCCACGUGUAGCGGUGAAAUGCGUAGAGAUGUGGAGGAGCACCAGUGGCGAAGGCGACUCUCUGGUCUGUAACUGACGCUGAGGAGCGAAAGCGUGGGGAGCGAACAGGAUUAGAUACCCCCGUAGUCCCUGUCUCUUAUAC
rnacentral:rRNA from 1 species